UAGUCAUAUGCUUGUCUCAAAGAUUAAGCCAUGCAUGUGUCAGUACAGGCCGCUUACAAGGCUAAACCGCGAAUGGCUCAUUAAACCAGUUAUAAUCCACUAGAUGGAAACCAAUUACUCGGAUAACCCUGGUAAUUCUAGAGCUAAUACGUGCAACAUGCCCUGACCGCAAGGGAAGGGUGCUUUUAUUAGUUGAAAACCUGUCGGUCUUCGGUCCGUAAACACUACGUGACGACUCUGAAUAACUUUGUGCAGAGAGCACGGCCUCCGCGCCGGCUCCAUGUCUUUCGAGUUUCUGCCUUAUCAUGCUUUGGAUUGUAGGACAUUCGCCUACAAUGGCUGUAACGGGUGACGGGGAAUCAGGGUUCGAUUCCGGAGAGGGAGCCUGAGAAACGGCUACCACAUCCAAGGAAGGCAGCAGGCACGCAAAUUACCCAAUCCCAGCUCUGGGAGGUAGUGACGAAAAAUAAUGAUGCGGGACACAUCCGUGUCUUCGUAAUCAGAAUGAGCGGACCUCAAAAAAGUCCGCGACAACCAAUUGGAGGGCAAGUCUGGUGCCAGCAGCCGCGGUAAUUCCAGCUCCAAUAGCGUAUAUUAAAGUUGUUGCG
rnacentral:rRNA from 1 species